UGUGACCCUUAAUUUUCCCUGAUUCCUUUUCUAGGAAGCACAAAACAUUUGUUGAGAGCCCUCUUCCUCCUAAUACAAGCGGCUUCUCAGAUGGCUUUUCGUUUCAUGCCUCCUGGUGGUGCAGUUUGGGAGGUGGUACUUGGGGAUUUGGGAAUUCUAAGAUUCAGCCAGGUGGAUGCUGGGAAUAUUGUUCAUCUGUUGGGUUCAGACAUUGGGAUGCUGGUCAUAUCUCUUGUCAUCAUAAAGUUGAGCCAAAAGCUGGUGAUGCCCCUUGUUCCUGAGUCAACUUCACCCUCCCACAGCAAUGAGAGGGAAGAGGAGACAGAGGUGGAGCAAGAGGCAGGAUCAUCUACCCUUCACUGACCUCUGCUGUGUACUUUGUCACCUUCCUGGGCAUAUGUUUCUGGUGGUCCUGUCAUCAAGAAGUGGGCACCUUGGCCUUCAGCACCAUGUGUGUCUCCCUGGCCAUCUUCGCUGCAGGCCGCAUUGGGAGCCUCUAUCUCUAUCAGCUGCCUUACUUUCAAGACUUAGUCCUGCUUGAAGACAUUUAUGCCAGGUAGAAGCCGAGGCUGCAGCCUGAGCUUUAAAUUGUCCCUCUCGAUUAAGGGGAAGGGUUCAAAGCAAAGGUUUUCUGUCUUUGAGCUCAGUCAGAAUUAUAAUCCAAUUCAACAAAUGUGUUUAUGAAAAAUCCCUUAUAUUCAAGGCCCUAUGAUUAGGAGCUGAGGAAACAAAAAUAAAAAGCAAAACUGACCCUACCUUCA
rnacentral:lncRNA from 1 species